GGAGAGAUGGCAGAGUCCGGUUGAACGCGCCGCACUCGAAAUGCGGUUUACUCUUUUGAGUAACGGGGGUUCGAAUCCCUCUCUCUCCG
rnacentral:tRNA from 1 species